UACGGAGGAUCCAAGCGUUAUCCGGAUUUAUUGGGUUUAAAGGGUGCGUAGGCGGCCCUGUAAGUCAGUGGUGAAAUACUGCAGCUUAACUGUAGCAUUGCCAUUGAUACUGUAGGGCUUGAGUACAGAUGAGGUAGGCGGAAUUGAUGGUGUAGCGGUGAAAUGCAUAGAUACCAUCAAGAACACCGAUUGCGAAGGCAGCUUACUAAGCUGUAACUGACGCUGAGGCACGAAAGCGUGGGGAUCGAACAGG
rnacentral:rRNA from 1 species